rnacentral:lncRNA from 1 species
UUUUAUCUAUUUAGCUCACAAAUUUUCUUCUCAAUUUUUAUCAUUGAUUCUAUUUUUUAUUUAUUUUCAUUGACUUUUUACGAACACUCAUUUAAGAGAUUACUAUUUUAUCAUUUUUUUUAUUUAAAAUUCAUGCAUAUAUAAGUUAAUGGUUGAUAAUAGAAGUUGAUAAUUUAUAUGGUUUGUGAAAUGAUUGGACAUAAAAGUCAACCGUUC